rnacentral:lncRNA from 1 species
AUGACAACAGGAACCACGUCUGCCUGUUGUCCAUAAGAGUUGAUCAAGUUGAUUAGAUCUUAGGCUCCUGAAAAGUUUGAUGAGUCACCAACAGAGGUGUUUUGUUUUGAGACAGGGUCUUCCUCUGUCACCCAGGUUGGAGUGCAGUAGCAUGAUCAUGGCUUACUGCAGCCUUGAAUUCUUGGGCUCAAGCGAUCCUCCCACCACAGCCUCCUGAGUAGCUGGGACCACAGGUAUUAAAAAAGAUUGAAGACAUGAAAGAAAGAAUAACUGAAUGUUACUGAUGCCAGAAGCAACUCUCGCUGGGCGCAACUCUCGCU